rnacentral:rRNA from 1 species
UACGGGGGGGGCAAGCGUUGUUCGGAAUUACUGGGCGUAAAGGGUUCGUAGGUGGCCUACUAAGUCAGACGUGAAAUCCCUCAGCUCAACUGGGGAACUGCGUCUGAGACUGGAAGGCUUGAGUGCAGGAGAGGAACGCGGAAUUCCAGGUGUAGCGGUGAAAUGCGUAGAUAUCUGGAGGAGCACCGGUGGCGAAGGCGGCGUUCUGGACUGUUACUGACACUGAGGAACGAAAGCCAGGGGAGCAAACGGG